rnacentral:rRNA from 1 species
UACGGGGGGGCGAAGCGUUGUUCGGAAUUACUGGGCGUAAAAGGGCGCGUAGGCGGUUUCGCUAAGUUGGAUGUGAAAACUCUGGGCUCAACCCAGAGCCUGCAUCCAAAACUGGCGGGCUAGAGUUCUGGAGGGGGUAGCGGAAUUCCUGGUGUAGCGGUGAAAUGCGUAGAUAUCAGGAGGAACACCGGUGGCGAAGGCGGCUACCUGGACAGAAACUGACGCUGAGGCGACGGAAAAGCUAGGGGGAGCAAAACAGG